rnacentral:rRNA from 1 species
AUGGCCAACCACGGAGCCGCCGCUCUCCUGAUCGCGUCCCUGCUCGUGGUUGCGGUCACCCUCGCCGACGCCAGGAUCACCGGGCAGCUGCAGCGCGGCAGCAUUAACGGAGUUUAUGCAUUGACGAAGGCGGUGCCGGCGCUGACGUGCAACAAGGUGAGCGCGGUGCAGACGGGCGAGACCUGCUCCUCCCUCGCGGAGAGCGCCGGCCUCAGCCAGGAGGACUUCCUGGGCUUCAACCCCAACAUCAACUGUGUCAGGAUCUUCGUCGGCCAGUGGGUCUGCCUCGACGCAUCCUCUGCCUAA